UACGUAGGGUGCAAGCGUUGUCCGGAAUUAUUGGGCGUAAAGAGCUCGUAGGCGGCCUGUCGCGUCUGCUGUGAAAACUCGGGGCUUAACCCCGGGCCUGCAGUGGGUACGGGCAGACUAGAGUGCGGUAGGGGAGACUGGAAUUCCUGGUGUAGCGGUGAAAUGCGCAGAUAUCAGGAGGAACACCGGUGGCGAAGGCGGGUCUCUGGGCCGUAACUGACGCUGAGGAGCGAAAGCGUGGGGAGCGAACAGG
rnacentral:rRNA from 1 species